GGGUUGUGAGGUUAAGCGACUAAGCGUACACGGUGGAUGCCCUGGCAGUCAGAGGCGAUGAAGGACGUGCUAAUCUGCGAUAAGCGUCGGUAAGGUGAUAUGAACCGUUAUAACCGGCGAUUUCCGAAUGGGGAAACCCAGUGUGAUUCGUCACACUAUCAUUAACUGAAUCCAUAGGUUAAUGAGGCGAACCGGGGGAACUGAAACAUCUAAGUACCCCGAGGAAAAGAAAUCAACCGAGAUUCCCCCAGUAGCGGCGAGCGAACGGGGAGCAGCCCAGAGCCUGAAUCAGUGUGUGUGUUAGUGGAAGCGUCUGGAAAGGCGCGCGAUACAGGGUGACAGCCCCGUACACAAAAAUGCACAUACUGUGAGCUCGAUGAGUAGGGCGGGACACGUGGUAUCCUGUCUGAAUAUGGGGGGACCAUCCUCCAAGGCUAAAUACUCCUGACUGACCGAUAGUGAACCAGUACCGUGAGGGAAAGGCGAAAAGAACCCCGGCGAGGGGAGUGAAAAAGAACCUGAAACCGUGUACGUACAAGCAGUGGGAGCACGCUUAGGCGUGUGACUGCGUACCUUUUGUAUAAUGGGUCAGCGACUUAUAUUCUGUAGCAAGGUUAACCGAAUAGGGGAGCCGAAGGGAAACCGAGUCUUAACUGGGCGUUAAGUUGCAGGGUAUAGACCCGAAACCCGGUGAUCUAGCCAUGGGCAGGUUGAAGGUUGGGUAACACUAACUGGAGGACCGAACCGACUAAUGUUGAAAAAUUAGCGGAUGACUUGUGGCUGGGGGUGAAAGGCCAAUCAAACCGGGAGAUAGCUGGUUCUCCCCGAAAGCUAUUUAGGUAGCGCCUCGUGAAUUCAUCUCCGGGGGUAGAGCACUGUUUCGGCAAGGGGGUCAUCCCGACUUACCAACCCGAUGCAAACUGCGAAUACCGGAGAAUGUUAUCACGGGAGACACACGGCGGGUGCUAACGUCCGUCGUGAAGAGGGAAACAACCCAGACCGCCAGCUAAGGUCCCAAAGUCAUGGUUAAGUGGGAAACGAUGUGGGAAGGCUCAGACAGCCAGGAUGUUGGCUUAGAAGCAGCCAUCAUUUAAAGAAAGCGUAAUAGCUCACUGGUCGAGUCGGCCUGCGCGGAAGAUGUAACGGGGCUAAACCAUGCACCGAAGCUGCGGCAGCGACGCUUAUGCGUUGUUGGGUAGGGGAGCGUUCUGUAAGCCUGUGAAGGUGUACUGUGAGGUAUGCUGGAGGUAUCAGAAGUGCGAAUGCUGACAUAAGUAACGAUAAAGCGGGUGAAAAGCCCGCUCGCCGGAAGACCAAGGGUUCCUGUCCAACGUUAAUCGGGGCAGGGUGAGUCGACCCCUAAGGCGAGGCCGAAAGGCGUAGUCGAUGGGAAACAGGUUAAUAUUCCUGUACUUGGUGUUACUGCGAAGGGGGGACGGAGAAGGCUAUGUUGGCCGGGCGACGGUUGUCCCGGUUUAAGCGUGUAGGCUGGUUUUCCAGGCAAAUCCGGAAAAUCAAGGCUGAGGCGUGAUGACGAGGCACUACGGUGCUGAAGCAACAAAUGCCCUGCUUCCAGGAAAAGCCUCUAAGCAUCAGGUAACAUCAAAUCGUACCCCAAACCGACACAGGUGGUCAGGUAGAGAAUACCAAGGCGCUUGAGAGAACUCGGGUGAAGGAACUAGGCAAAAUGGUGCCGUAACUUCGGGAGAAGGCACGCUGAUAUGUAGGUGAAGUCCCUCGCGGAUGGAGCUGAAAUCAGUCGAAGAUACCAGCUGGCUGCAACUGUUUAUUAAAAACACAGCACUGUGCAAACACGAAAGUGGACGUAUACGGUGUGACGCCUGCCCGGUGCCGGAAGGUUAAUUGAUGGGGUUAGCGCAAGCGAAGCUCUUGAUCGAAGCCCCGGUAAACGGCGGCCGUAACUAUAACGGUCCUAAGGUAGCGAAAUUCCUUGUCGGGUAAGUUCCGACCUGCACGAAUGGCGUAAUGAUGGCCAGGCUGUCUCCACCCGAGACUCAGUGAAAUUGAACUCGCUGUGAAGAUGCAGUGUACCCGCGGCAAGACGGAAAGACCCCGUGAACCUUUACUAUAGCUUGACACUGAACAUUGAGCCUUGAUGUGUAGGAUAGGUGGGAGGCUUUGAAGUGUGGACGCCAGUCUGCAUGGAGCCGACCUUGAAAUACCACCCUUUAAUGUUUGAUGUUCUAACGUGGACCCGUAAUCCGGGUUGCGGACAGUGUCUGGUGGGUAGUUUGACUGGGGCGGUCUCCUCCUAAAGAGUAACGGAGGAGCACGAAGGUUGGCUAAUCCUGGUCGGACAUCAGGAGGUUAGUGCAAUGGCAUAAGCCAGCUUGACUGCGAGCGUGACGGCGCGAGCAGGUGCGAAAGCAGGUCAUAGUGAUCCGGUGGUUCUGAAUGGAAGGGCCAUCGCUCAACGGAUAAAAGGUACUCCGGGGAUAACAGGCUGAUACCGCCCAAGAGUUCAUAUCGACGGCGGUGUUUGGCACCUCGAUGUCGGCUCAUCACAUCCUGGGGCUGAAGUAGGUCCCAAGGGUAUGGCUGUUCGCCAUUUAAAGUGGUACGCGAGCUGGGUUUAGAACGUCGUGAGACAGUUCGGUCCCUAUCUGCCGUGGGCGCUGGAGAACUGAGGGGGGCUGCUCCUAGUACGAGAGGACCGGAGUGGACGCAUCACUGGUGUUCGGGUUGUCAUGCCAAUGGCACUGCCCGGUAGCUAAAUGCGGAAGAGAUAAGUGCUGAAAGCAUCUAAGCACGAAACUUGCCCCGAGAUGAGUUCUCCCUGACUCCUUGAGAGUCCUGAAGGAACGUUGAAGACGACGACGUUGAUAGGCCGGAUGUGUAAGCGCAGCGAUGCGUUGAGCUAACCGGUACUAAUGAACCGUGAGGCUUAACCUUACAACGCCGAAGCUGUU
rnacentral:rRNA from 1 species